rnacentral:rRNA from 1 species
UGCAGAGAUGCGGGGGUGCCUUCGGGAGCGCGGAGACAGGUGCUGCAUGGCUGUCGUCAGCUCGUGUUGUGAGAUGUUGGGUUAAGUCCCGUAACGAGCGCAACCCUUGUUCUUAGUUGCCAGCGAUUUGGUCGGGGACUCUAAGAAGACUGCCGGUGAUAAGCCGGAGGAAGGUGGGGACGACGUCAAGUCAUCAUGGCCCUUACGAGUAGGGCUACACACGUGCUACAAUGGUCAGUACAGAGGGUAGCGAAAGGGUGACCUGGAGCCAAUCUCAGAAAGCUGAUCGUAGUCCGGAUUGCAGUCUGCAACUCGACUGCAUGAAGUCGGAAUCGCUAGUAAUCGCGGAUCAGAAUGCCGCGGUGAAUACGUUCCCGGGCCUUGUACACACCGCCCGUCACACCAUGGAAGUGGAUUGCACCAGAAGUAGCUAGAUUAACCGUAAGGGGGUCGGUUACCACGGUGUGGUUCAUGAUCUGGGGUGAAGUCGUAACAAGGUAACCGUA